AUCUAUUUUUAAACAAAAGUCUAUUUUUAAUGGUUCAGUAAUUUAACAACAAAAAAAUAAUACAGAUCAGUAUUAUCUACGCAUGUUUUUACUGACUUAGGGAAAAAAAGCGACUCCAGUUGGCGUUUCGAUUAUUGGUUUGCCUGUGUCGGAGUAAAGGAAAAAGGAAGAGAGGGGAGCACUAACGGCGGUGUUGUACGCCGGUUGGUGUGCCAGUGUUGGUUGUUGGUUGACUCUGGCGACCGAAACCCGCCAUUUGGGGUUGUUGGUCGCCGUGAAAAGGAAAGAGAGACGAUUGAAAGUCAAACGACGGGAAAGGGAAGAGGGGUGUGGCGCCGACCAGAUCUGGUUAUGCCGAAGUGGUUGGUGGUAUCUCCGGGAAAGGGGGAGGGAGAAGACGACGGCGGUGAUGGUGUUUUCCGGCGAUUUAGUUCGCCGGAACUGACCACAGGAGUCAGAUUUUGAUUAUUCAGUGACGGGAAAGAGGAAAGGGGUGCAACGAGGACGCGGCUGGCGGCAAUUUUGCCGUCCAAAUAGUGUUUUCGCCGGCCAUGGUUGACCGAAAUUCAAAAGACAGCCGGAAAGUUCAAAACCCACCAAUUUUGUUCUCCGCUUUUCUUUAUUUUCGUACUGUUCUCUCUCUUUCCUCCUAUAAUUUCACUGAUUUUUGCCUCAAUUAUUCUCUCUUUUCCGGCUACUUUUCUCCUAAUUUCUUUUUUACCGUGUGAGUAUGUUCAAAUUGCAGUGAGAGGAGGGUGUAUAUAUGAUCUGCGUAUAGAGGAAUUAUGUAUGUGUGCAGUAUUUGGUAUCAAAAACGCAAAUAUACGAAUACACAGUAGUUUACUGGCAUAACAUGUACACCAAAAUUUUACCUAAUUAAUAAUUUCACAUGCUAAAUAAGGCAAUAAAAUCACUUAAGCAUUUUUCAUUCAUGUUUUUUUUUUUACAAGAACAUUCAUAAAAAAUUUACAUAAUUAAAUAAGAAACAAGAACAUGUUGAUGUAUUAAAACAAUUCAAAAGCCGUAAUCAGAAAUUUUGACAAGAAUUCCAACUUGAUGUUUCUUAUGAUGAGUUCAAAUAUUUCCCUCACUCUUUUUUUUACUUUAACUGAUUUUUCUUUUCUCAGUAUCUGAUAGAAUAGUG
rnacentral:lncRNA from 1 species